UUGCAAAUUCUUUAAGUGACUUGGGUGUUCGCGUUGUAAGCUAACUUUUCUUUUUCAGAUUUGUUUGGAGAGUGCAGGAUAUGCUAUAAAUUUGUAUUUAAGAAAAUUUCUGAAAGGUUAAAGUCGCCAAAGGUUGAAAAUUUUAAAAUGAUGUUGAUUCAUGAUAAUGGCUUCGGGGAAGAUAAGUGUUCCACCCAUGUCUUAAGUUUUAAUAGUAAAUGGCUUAGGAUUACUUUAUUCGUCUACAAAUUGUUGCUUCCUCUUGCUCUGUGAAGACUUGAUAUGGCCCCCUCUAUAAUCCACGAACCAUAAUAGAAAUGCAAAUCGUUUAUAAUGGGGAGCUAGAAAUCAAGCUGGCGUUUUAGGGAUAAACCAAAUAUUGUCCAAAGCAAGUAAUAGUCAUCAGUGGUUUCAUUUAAAAUACAUCAAUAGUUGUUAAAAUGCAGAUAAUUAUGCUGACCUGUGAAAUUUUUGGGGUAUGAAGAAUCAUGUAAUUAGAGUUUCUUAUACACUAACAGAGCUCCAGCUCUCUCUCGACUUUCAGGAAUCAAGGAGUUAUAAUACCUCUGUACUUCUUCAUACUUCAACCCUCGGGAGUCAAGAUAGCUGUAUAAGCUAUAAAACCGCUCUUCAAAGAAAAUCAGAUAAUCCGGCCAUUCUUUAAUUUUAUCUAGAAAAGUAGGCAUAUUCUCGUAAAAACGAUCCGUCUCAUCAAAGGGCUUUUCGAACGGUUCACAUGUCAAGAACUUCCAUCCAUUUUCAGCAAAAGGUGAAUGGAUAUGCGACUGCCAUGGUGUAGUGUGACACGGAGCAAGUAUUAGACCAGUUUGGUUUUUUUCAGCAAGUGAAUGUAUUAAUGGCAUAACUUCCAUGACUCCAAAUUGAUGAAAUCGGCAUAAAAAUGUAAUUACCAGAGCAUGUCCCAAUCCAAUAAGGAAGAAAAACCGUGCUGCACGCUUCCAAGAGGAAAAUGAUGAAAAAAAUUUUCCAGCUAAAGUAAGUAAAAUCGGUGAAAUUGGGUAUACAAACCGAAGUUCUUUAUGUCCUAUCAGUGAAUAGGGAAAGAAAACACAAAGAAUGGUUCCCGCUGUUUGAAGGUCCAUUGUGAGUAAUACGAAUGGAAGAAAUCCUCCGCAUAUUAAUGGGAGGGCUUGAGAAAGGUAAUAGUGCCAUGCGUUCAAUCCAUACAAAGAGGAAAGGCCUGAAGUAACAUUAAAUUGAAAGAACGAAAUGAUGGGAAAGACAAAACGACCGUAAAGUAUUCUAUCAGCAAUAAUAUUAACUAAAAAUAAAGACACACACAAAACGAAUAUGCCAAAAAGCCGCCCAUAACCGAGAGCAUAUAAAAAACGAAAGCGAUUAAAAACAUUGGAAAACGAGAGUAAAUCCUUUAUGGGUGUUUGAGGAUUUUUGUUCCAGAAUAAAAGUGGGAAUAUCCAGACUAGUAUAUUUGUAGGUCGGAUGAAACAAGCAAAGGCUGCGACUGAAAUGAAGCCCAAAAGUGAAGAGUACGCUUUCUUACGUUGCUCAGGAGAAGAGUUUUCAUAUUUUAGGUAGUAAGAGAAAUAGUAAAAUCCUAUGGAAGUCAAUGUUGUCUCCAAUGAAUUGGAAAAGGUUCGGACACCAACGUACGCAUUCAUUAUGGAGACAAGAGAGCAAGCCAACGUCCAAUUCGCGGUUUUAGAACCAUAUCUUACUAGUGCAAAUUUAUAAGUUCCAUA
rnacentral:lncRNA from 1 species